rnacentral:rRNA from 1 species
GACGAACGCUGGCGGCGUGCCUAAUACAUGCAAGUCGAACGCUUCUUUCCUCCCGAGUGCUUGCACUCAAUUGGAAAGAGGAGUGGCGGACGGGUGAGUAACACGUGGGUAACCUACCCAUCAGAGGGGGAUAACACUUGGAAACAGGUGCUAAUACCGCAUAACAGUUUAUGCCGCAUGGCAUAAGAGUGAAAGGCGCUUUCGGGUGUCGCUGAUGGAUGGACCCGCGGUGCAUUAGCUAGUUGGUGAGGUAACGGCUCACCAAGGCCACGAUGCAUAGCCGACCUGAGAGGGUGAUCGGCCACACUGGGACUGAGACACGGCCCAGACUCCUACGGGAGGCAGCAGUAGGGAAUCUUCGGCAAUGGACGAAAGUCUGACCGAGCAACGCCGCGUGAGUGAAGAAGGUUUUCGGAUCGUAAAACUCUGUUGUUAGAGAAGAACAAGGACGUUAGUAACUGAACGUCGCCUGACGGUAUCUAACCAGAAAGCCACGGCUAACUACGUG